rnacentral:rRNA from 1 species
UACGUAGGUGGCAAGCGUUAAUCGGAAUUACUGGGCGUAAAGCGUGCGCAGGCGGUGAUGUAAGACAGAUGUGAAAUCCCCGGGCUCAACCUGGGAACUGCAUUUGUGACUGCAUCGCUGGAGUACGGCAGAGGGGGAUGGAAUUCCGCGUGUAGCAGUGAAAUGCGUAGAUAUGCGGAGGAACACCGAUGGCGAAGGCAAUCCCCUGGGCCUGCACUGACGCUCAUGCACGAAAGCGUGGGGAGCAAACAGG